GCUGGCGGCAUGCCUUACACAUGCAAGUCGAACGGCAGCACGGGUGCUUGCACCUGGUGGCGAGUGGCGAACGGGUGAGUAAUAUAUCGGAACGUGCCCUAGAGUGGGGGAUAACGUAGCGAAAGUUACGCUAAUACCGCAUACGAUCUACGGAUGAAAGUGGGGGAUCGCAAGACCUCAUGCUCCUGGAGCGGCCGAUAUCUGAUUAGCUAGUUGGUAGGGUAAAAGCCUACCAAGGCGACGAUCAGUAGCUGGUCUGAGAGGACGACCAGCCACACUGGGACUGAGACACGGCCCAGACUCCUACGGGAGGCAGCAGUGGGGAAUUUUGGACAAUGGGGGAAACCCUGAUCCAGCAAUGCCGCGUGUGUGAAGAAGGCCUUCGGGUUGUAAAGCACUUUUGUCAGGAACGAAACGGUGGGGGCUAAUACCUUCUGCUAAUGACGGUACCUGAAGAAUAAGCACCGGCUAACUACGUGCCAGCAGCCGCGGUAAUACGUAGGGUGCGAGCGUUAAUCGGAAUUACUGGGCGUAAAGCGUGCGCAGGCGGUUGUGCAAGACAGAUGUGAAAUCCCCGGGCUUAACCUGGGAAUUGCAUUUGUGACUGCACGGCUAGAGUGUGUCAGAGGGGGGUAGAAUUCCACGUGUAGCAGUGAAAUGCGUAGAUAUGUG
rnacentral:rRNA from 1 species